UCCGGCCGUGCCCACUCCAUUAUCUUAACCUCCCACCUCCUCAAUUCCGCCGCACCCGCUGGAAGGAAAAAAGAUAUCGAGUCGCCCCCAAAGAAAAUAAAGAGAAAUCUACCAGCCCUAGCACUCUAGCAGAUUUGUGAAGGCCGCUGCCGCCGGAUCCCGUCCCGGUGCUCUUCGCCGACGAAAUCUCCCAGGGAUCCCCUCGCCGUCGUCCAUUCACCUGAAGGCACUAACUCCCCAGCAUGAGACCACUGACGGCGCGCGAUUCUGAGGAGUCCUGAGGUAAGCAACUUCCGCCAGCCCCUUCUCUUCCCAUCUCUGAUCUGUGAUUUUCCUGUUUUUGUUUUCCGGCGGAUGUGAGAUCUGUUAGGAAGCUGCCGAAACCAACGUGGCAUGGCAAUCUGGAAACGGAUGUAUGAAGUUCUUUUCGAGAUUGGAGUGCAAGAACCUUGCAAUAUGAGUUCACCUGCUAUUCUCCUUCACUGCAACCUAUUGGUUUGGGACGAUUUGAUUUAGAUUUAGUGGUUGCUGGCCGACACAAGCAAAAUAUUGCGGCAUCAAGAAUCACUCCUUCGACAUGCUGCAACCGUACAAGGCAGAAUGCAAGCACUCUAUGUUUCUGAACGAGGGUGGUACUACAUUGAUGUAAUAAAGGAUUACACAUAUAUAGUCAUUUGCAGACACUUGUUAACUGCAUUUUAUAGCCUUUAUCUCUUACAUUGCCACAUAUUAUGCCCCAUCAAACUUUGUAAUGUUAAAAGGUAUUGCUGUUUGCGAUGGUUUUAUGAGCAUCUCUACACAAUGAUUCAGUAAUUCUUUUCUUGCGGUAAGUAUGCAGCUUUAUUCAAACAAGAAGGCGUAAUACCAAUGUGAAGAGACUCCUCCAUUAUACGGUUAUUGCCCCCAAUGGUUUACAACUGAACUGCUCCAUGGAAAGUAGAACAUCUGAUCGAAAUUUAUGACUUGCUAUCUCAUCUAUUGAUCAGUUGACGUUGUCUUGUGAAGAUUUUCAAGCAACACAACAGAAGACUUGCAAGGCGAAUUACUGUAGUAGUGAUGGGAAUUGGGAAGCUGCUGUACCAAUUGCUCCCUGCACAAACUAGCUGGAAGAAAAUUAUAUAUGGAUUUGCACGAUAUUUUCUGGUCAAGCUGUAAUCUUUUCACAAAUGUACAGUUCAAUUGUAAAUUGUUGCAGUUCUAAAGAAAUAAAGUUAACUUCUUCCGAAUAA